GGGUCGAUGCCCGAGUGGUUAAUGGGAGCGGAUUGUAAAUCCGCCGGCUUCGCCUACGUAGGUUCAAAUCCUACUCGGCCCA
rnacentral:tRNA from 4 species